CAGUGACCUGAGAUAUAGUUUUCAAAUCAGUCAAACUUGGACACCUAAGCACAUUCAUAGUUGAACGCAUCAUAUUUUGAUGAUCUUAAAGCUUUGCUGGAGUGGCUCAAUUUUUGUGGCAAAUUGAUGGAAGUCAGAGGUCGAGGACCCAGCGCAUAUUAUGAUUGUCAUUGAAGUUGGAUUCUUGAAGUUGCAAGAAGCCGGAACAUAUACCAGCACUGGAUAAGCAUUGGAUGUGGUGCAGUGCCUUGUUGAAUAUUGGAUGCUAGUUAUUUUUCAAUGUUCCAAUAAAAGGUCACAUUUGAUCAACAGGCACUCAAUCUGCUUCAUUCCCUUCAAACUUCAACCAGCUGACAGAGGGUUUGAGCAAAACGCUGUGAAAUUUUUGACUUGUCUGUAAAUGACCUAUUUAAUGUCCCCAAGAAAGAAGAGCCUCUUUUCAUUUUAUAUCUGAUACCAAGUUUACACAAUUUUUGGUAAGUCAUUACUUUUUCUGGGUUUCUUCUCCUUUUUCUUCUUUUUAACUUGUGUGAAAUUUCUGGUUGCUGGCCAAUUGGAAUAAUAUUGCAUCUAUGUCUGCAAUGUUUACAAGUUUACUCUACAUGGUAGCACCACCUCUGUCAACCAACAAAAUUUAAGGUGAGUCUUAGUUUUCCAGCUUUUACAUCAUG